GUGGUGACUGAUGGAGGAGAGAGAACCGUCUACUUCCACAACAUAUCGUCCAGUGACACCAUCAAGCUCAGGGAGGAUCUGAGGAACCUGCUCCGCAUCAAGAACUUCCUGCCUCUGAUGAACAGACUUUUCAUCGAGUUCGAGAGCGUUUUGGACGCCGAUCUGUACGGGAUUCGGCUGAGCGGCCAGAUGUUUGCCCAGAAGUACACGGUCUACAGGAUGAAGUCCCCCAGCAGUGCAGCGGAACCAUCCACAGGUGACGCUCCUGCCGGUUUAUGCAACUUCACCCGACUCCAGAUUCCUCUAAAGUCCCGCUCCCAUCAUCUUCUGAUCUAUUCUGAAAGCGUUCCCAGUGGUCUUUGAACUCUGAUGAUGCUGUUUUUAGAGCAAAUAAAAAAAAACGUAUAGUUCCUGCAGAGCGGCAGGAGUGCUGUAGAAAUUCACCUCUGAGUUUUGGGCCCCUCCCUCAAGGAUUUGAAUAAAAAUACUCAUUUUCUGAAUAUAUGUCCUCGACAUCAGGAAAAUGCCACAAGAACACGUUAAAAAAAGGCAUUUUUAUCAGAGCGUGACUUAAAGUUUACUAAUAAAUUCCAGUUUUUUAUUCUUCCCUUAAACUUUAUUUACAAAAAAAACAGUUUUGUUUUUUAACAGUAAAUGCAGUUGGAGAAUUUCCUUACUGAUCAUAUUUUUGCAUGAAUAUGUUCAACACUAAAGCUCCGGAAUGGCGUACGCCUCCUUUUUGGAUGACCAUGAAAACGGCGCCGUUCCUGUACCCGACAGCGACGCACUCCUUCAUCAGUCCAGCUUGUGUGUCCGUUGAUCAGCCGGCUGACAUCGUGGUGAGAAGACUCUGCUCCAGUUUUGGAUUAUCUGGAAGGAGACGUCAUGACGUAGCAGCGAUUAAAAUCCUCUUUUUCUGCUGCUGCAGAAAGCGGCCGUCAUUGGCUCAGAGUUUGCCACGGUCAUGCUGAGCGGUCUACCGGAAGACGGCUACACCCACGAGGACGUGGCCAAGCUGGUGUGGCCGUUCUUCAGCACGCCCAACUUCCAGGUCCUGAACCAGAACCUGUACGUCCUGCCCCUGCAGAGGAGGGCAUUUGUGUUUUUCAGCAACUGGACGGCGUGCUCCGAGUUUCUCAAAGAACACGUCCAAACCCCCGUUUCUCUCAAAGGUCAAACUCUGAGUGUGCAGGUCGUCUUGGAGAAGAUUCACCCGGGCUCCAACCAGAGCACUGUGUACAAGAGUCUGAUGAAAUGGAGCAGUCCUCUGAAGCCAGACCCAGAGUUUCUGAAUAACCGGCUGCUGUCAGUGGAGGUGACUGACACUUCAGCAGCCCUGGUCAUGACGAUCAUGAAGGUGGUGGAUUCCAUAUCUCCUUUCGUUAACUUCCUGCCCCUGGCCAAUCGGAUCUACGUUGAGAUGCUUUCCGUCAUGGCCGUGAUCGACGUUCAGCUGAAGAUUUCCUCCAUGAAGCCCUCGGAGCUGCCCUCCGACUGGAAGAAAGUCAAGCGUAUUGAACCCAUGAGUACCCUACAGCAGCGGCUGAUCAAGUGUAGCCAAACCCCUCUUUACCUUAAACCCGACCCCCCACCAAAAACAAAGAAGAAGAAGAAAAAGAAAAGCCAAAGAAAAGCCCACAUGGAAGCCGGUCCCGUCACAGCAGGCGACUGCGUCGACUACAUCGCCCACAACCGCGUCCCCCGCACCUCGGCGGCCGCCGCCAGGGUCUUGAUAGCAGCCGAGUUAACCGAAGAAGCACAAAGAAAAACCGGACCCGGAGUGCCGGCAAACACCGGAACCUCUCCACACCUUUCUGAGAUGGGGUCACAGCUAACCGAUUCUAGAGAAGACUCUGCUCAGGAAGAGAAGAAAGGAACUGGUGAGGAGGAGGAGGAGGAGGAGGAGGGAACGCUCCAAGGAGGUCAAAACCUUGCAGGCCCACCUAAGAAUGAAGAGAUGAAGGGAGAGCAAAAGGAUGAAGACUUGGAGGAAAAUCAGCAAAACAAUUCUUCUCAGGGAUUUUCCAACUCAUGUCCUGAAGGCGAGGAUUUGGAGCCAGGCCUCACCAUCAGACAGGUUCCUGAGAAACCAGCAGCUGACGACGACCAGCAUCAAAGUCCAAGAGGAGACGAAGGAAACGGGGAGGAAAUCUGUUUAGAGUCUUCAACCUCCAAAGAGGAAAGGCUUCAAGACUUAUCUGGAGAUUUUAUGGAGCAAGAAAGAAGUGAACCUGCAGCUGCCGAUCCCAUCGGAGCAGGAGACGACCGUCUGACACUUGUAACCAUGACGAAUCAGGCCAGAGAUCCUGAGGAAGGUCAGUCACCUACAGAGACUGAAGAUGAGGUUCAACAAGAAACCAUGGAUCAUGGUGGAGAAGAGGACCAACAGGAGGGAGAGGAACCUGCAUCCCUCAUUUCCAGCCCUGCAGGCUCCAUAGGAAGGAGAAAAACCACAGACCUCGAGACGCCGACGGGAGGGAACUUCCUCGCUGACCACGCCGAGAAACUUCCAAACAUUGAAGCUACAGCUGCUCCUAAAGAGGCUCGGACAGAAACACCGGAGGAACGCGUUUUUGGAGACGAUCAGCCGACAGCAGCAGGGAAACCAAACAGAAGCCUUCCAGCUGCUACCGGGGGCUCAAUGCAGACGGACGAGGACUCCAGAGAAGCAAACGACGAAGAAGACGAGGCUCCAGACGAAGUUAAAACUUGUGGCUCCACAGCCGAGGAGACGCUGCUCCUAGAGGAGCGUUCAGAAGAACGGGCCAUAGAGGAAGCUGCUGUUGAGGUGAACCAGGAAGAAGAAUCCAGGCGGGAGGAAGAGAAGGCGGACUUCACACCAACGGAGGUGAUGCCCUGA
rnacentral:lncRNA from 1 species